rnacentral:lncRNA from 1 species
AAACACAAGCCCGGCCGAGGAGAAACAAAAUAUCAACUACUAUACUCACUAAGUGUUGAAAACUUCGCCGGGACUGUAAGAGGCGCCAGGGGGUCCCCCUCCAUUGUGUCCCAUCGCCCCGCUGCCCAGCACCAAGAGCUCUUCCAUUCCUUGAUGGAGCUCGGCAGAUCGAUCACAAAUGGAGUGUGGGAACCCCAUGACGUCAGGUAGUACCAACCCCGGGUCUUAUCCCCCCCGGCAGUAACCUUGGGUAUGUAGAG